rnacentral:rRNA from 1 species
UAGGGAAUUUUCCACAAUGGGCGAAAGCCUGAUGGAGCGACGCCGCGUGCAGGAUGAAGGCCCUCGGGUCGUAAACUGCUUUUCUCUGUGACGAUUAUGACGGUAGCAGAGGAAUAAGGGUCGGCUAACUACGUGCCAGCAGCCGCGGUCAUACGUAGGACCCAAGCGUUAUCCGGAUUUACUGGGCGUAAAGAGUUGCGUAGGUGGCAUAGUAAGUUGGUAGUGAAAUCGUGUGGCUCAACCAUGCAUCCAUUACCAAAACUGCUAAGCUUGAGGGCGAGAGAGGUUACUAGAAUUCCUAGUGUAGGAGUGAAAUCCGUAGAUAUCAGGAGGAAUACCGAUGGCGUAGGCAGGUAACUGGCUCGUCCCUGACACUAAGGCACGAAAGCGUGGGGAGCAAACGGG